rnacentral:rRNA from 1 species
CAGUCGCCACGGGAAAACGGAGGGGGCUAGCGUUGUUCGGAAUUACUGGGCGUAAAGCGUGCGUAGGCGGUGAGUUAAGUCUGCUGUGAAAUCCCCGGGCUCAACCUGGGAAUGGCAGUGGAUACUGGCUCGCUAGAGUGUGUCAGAGGAUGGUGGAAUUCCCGGUGUAGCGGUGAAAUGCGUAGAGAUCGGGAGGAACAUCAGUGGCGAAGGCGGCCAUCUGGGACAACACUGACGCUGAGGCACGAAAGCGUGGGGAGCAAACAGGAUUAGAUACCCCAGUAGUCCCUGUCUCUUAUAC